GAUGAACGCUGGCGGCGUGCCUAAUACAUGCAAGUCGAGCAAACGGACGAGAAGCUUGCUUCUCUGAUGUUAGCGGCGGACGGGUGAGUAACACGUGGAUAACCUACCUAUAAGACUGGGAUAACUUCGGGAAACCGGAGCUAAUACCGGAUAAUAUUUUGAACCGCAUGGUUCAAAAGUGAAAGACGGUCUUGCUGUCACUUAUAGAUGGAUCCGCGCUGCAUUAGCUAGUUGGUAAGGUAACGGCUUACCAAGGCAACGAUGCAUAGCCGACCUGAGAGGGUGAUCGGCCACACUGGAACUGAGACACGGUCCAGACUCCUACGGGAGGCAGCAGUAGGGAAUCUUGCGCAAUGGGCGAAAGCCUGACGGAGCAACGCCGCGUGAGUGAUGAAGGUCUUCGGAUCGUAAAACUCUGUUAUUAGGGAAGAACAUAUGUGUAAGUAACUGUGCACAUCUUGACGGUACCUAAUCAGAAAGCCACGGCUAACUACGUG
rnacentral:rRNA from 1 species